rnacentral:lncRNA from 1 species
AGAGACGUUGCACCUGGAUGCGUCUUGGGCUCUGUCUUCAAUAUGCGCAGUGGAGGGGACUUUUAAAUAAUUCUCAGGAAGAAAGAAACUGCAGAGCCCAAGUGGAAUUCUGGAUAUAAUGAAAUCCUGCCCCAGCCUGGUGGCUUCUCUCAGAUCUUUCCUCCCGGCUUGCCGCUUCAUCGUCUCUGAACCUCCUGUGUCUCCUUCGUGAUAAACUUGCAUUUUUAGAACAUUCCUGUGCUUUUCCAUGAGUGUGAGUGAG